rnacentral:rRNA from 1 species
UACAGAGGGGCGAGCGUUGUUCGGAAUUACUGGGCGUAAAGGGCGCGUAGGCGGCCAACUAAGUCAGACGUGAAAUCCCUCGGCUCAACCGGGGAACUGCGUCUGAUACUGGAUGGCUUGAAUUCGGGAGAGGGAUGCGGAAUUCCAGGUGUAGCGGUGAAAUGCGUAGAUAUCGGAAGGAACAUCAGUGGCGAAAGCGGCUUCCUGGUCCAGCACCGACGUCAGGCACGAAAGCGUGGGGAGCAAACAGG